ACCUAAGACUAAAUUACCCUGAAUGUGCCUGAUCACUAAGAUCUCAGAAGAUAAGCUAAGUUAAGGCUGGUUAGUACUUAGGUGGGAGACUUACUCGGAAUAACAGGUGUUUGUAGGCU
rnacentral:rRNA from 1 species